UCUGGGAUAGAGGAUGGAAACUCUUGUCAUACGGAUAAAGCGGGUCCCGACGGCCAGUCAGCGCGCGCGAGCGGGCCAACAGACCAACCAACGGCCGAAGCUGCCCACUCCGGCAAGCAACCGGCCGUGGCCUCCGGCGUCCGAUCGCCAUCCCUUCCCUUCAAAGCCACUGCUUCCUCGCCGUGGCGGCUUCGCCUACUUAAGCGCGCGCCUCCGCUGCUCGUACACUCACUCGCCUGUCGCCUCCAUCUUCCUCAGCCGCUUGCUGCCGGCUGUGGGGUUCAUGACACACGGACUACAUUAGUGUUCUUUACAAGAUGACGCGUAUGGGUCCCAAACAAGUGCUCGUUCCUACCGUCUCAUUCUUGCUGCUCCUGUUCUGCCUUGGAUGCAAAUGCCGAGCAUCAGAAUUAGAGGCGACA